rnacentral:tRNA from 1 species
UAGUUUGUGGUGUAGUGGUUUGAGUGUUGGACUAUGACUCUGGAGACGAGGGUUCAAAUCCCUGCUUAGCCAU